rnacentral:lncRNA from 1 species
AGAGAGUUACCACAACAGGCGGUACCUAGUUCCAGUUCUUGGUCCCUGGGGUCUGUGGUUGCCGCUUUCAUCUUGCUCAGCCAAAACAAAGCAGCCCUUCACACUUGAAGCUCUCGUAUGAGUAGAAAGGAACACAAUUAGUGGAAAACAUCAGCCUAGGAGUCAAGGGAUUUGGGCUCUAUGCUUGUCCCUUGGUGACGACAUCGUUACCUUGGGUUGUUCACGCUUUCAGUGCCAGAGUUCCUAGAUCAAUAAAACAUUAUUAU